AUACUUACCUGGUGUCGGGCACUCCGUGAUCAUGAAGGCGGAGACCCCAGGAGGAGGCCCAUCCAUUGCACUUCGGAAGGGCUGAGACCUGCCACUGUCCCAAACUGGGAAGGGUGGGGCAUGUAAUUUUUGAUAGUGGGAGUGUGCGUUCGCGCAACCCCCCU
rnacentral:snRNA from 1 species